UACAGAGGUCUCAAGCGUUGUUCGGAUUCAUUGGGCGUAAAGGGUGUGUAGGUGGCGCCGUAAGUCGGGUGUGAAAUUUCGGAGCUUAACUCCGAAACUGCAUUCGAUACUGCGGUGCUUGAGGACUGGAGAGGAGACUGGAAUUCAUGGUGUAGCAGUGAAAUGCGUAGAUAUCGUAAGGAAGACCAGUGGCGAAGGCGAGUCUCUGGACAGCAACUGACGCUGAGGCACGAAGGCCAGGGGAGCAAACGGG
rnacentral:rRNA from 1 species